rnacentral:rRNA from 1 species
GAUGAACGCUGGCGGCGUGCUUAACACAUGCAAGUCGAACGGGAAUUAUUUUAUUGAAACUUCGGUCGAUUUAAUUUAAUUCUAGUGGCGGACUGGUGAGUAACGCGUGUGUAACCUGCCUUAUACAGGGGGAUAACAGUCAUACAUGGCUGCUAAUACCGCAUAAUCGUACAUAGCUGCAUGGCUCAGUGUGAAAAACUCCGGUGGUAUAAGAUGGACCCUCGUUGGAUUAGAUGGUUGGUGCGGUAACGGCCCACCAAGGCGACGAUCCAUGACCGGGCUGAGAGGGUGAACGGCCACAUUGGGACUGAGACACGGCCCAGACUCCUACGGGAGGCAGCAGUGGGGAAUAUUGCACAAUGGGGGAAACACUGAUGCAGCGACGCCGCGUGAAGGAAGAAGUAUCGCGGUAUGUAAACUUCUAUCAGCAGGGAAGAUAGUGACGGUACCUGACUAAGAAGCCCCGGCUAACUACGUG